rnacentral:tRNA from 1 species
GGAUGAAUGUCCGAGCGGUCUAAGGAGCACGCCUCGAAAGCGUGUGAGGGUUUACGCCCUCCGCGAGUUCAAAUCUCGCUUCAUCCGCAA